CCUACGGGGGGCUGCAGUGGGGAAUAUUGGACAAUGGGGGGAACCCUGAUCCAGCCAUGCCGCGUGUGUGAAGAAGGCCCUCGGGUUGUAAAGCACUUUCAGUGAGGAAGAACGCCUGGUGGUUAAUACCCAUCAGGAAAGACAUCACUCACAGAAGAAGCACCGGCUAACUCCGUGCCAGCAGCCGCGGUAAUACGGAGGGUGCGAGCGUUAAUCGGAAUUACUGGGCGUAAAGCGCGCGUAGGUGGCUUGAUAAGCCGGUUGUGAAAGCCCCGGGCUCAACCUGGGAACGGCAUCCGGAACUGUCAAGCUAGAGUGCAGGAGAGGAAGGUAGAAUUCCCGGUGUAGCGGUGAAAUGCGUAGAGAUCGGGAGGAAUACCAGUGGCGAAGGCGGCCUUCUGGACUGACACUAACACUGAGGUGCGAAAGCGUGGGUAGCAAACAGGAUUAGAUACCCCUGUAGUC
rnacentral:rRNA from 1 species